UUCGCCAAAGAUGCUGCUGGGACUUAUUCUGUGAGCAGCUCAGUACCAUUAUCGUCCCUGUCUUUCGACACCAGUGAAGACAAUGAAGAUUCUCAGCACUCAGGGGAUGACAUGUAUCACGUGUACUGUACCGUCCCUGACACAAGUCAACACCAAAUGCAUGAGUGAGGUGAACAGCCUGCUGCAGAGAACAAAC